rnacentral:rRNA from 1 species
CGGGCGGCGUGCUCUACUGCAAGUCGUGCGAGAAAGCCCGCUUCGGUGGGUAAGUAAAGCGGCGAACGGGUGCGUAACACGUGAGUAAUCUGCCCUGAGGCGGGGGAUAAGCUCCCGAAAGGGGGUCUAAUACCGCAUAACAUUCCUGGGAGGCAUUUCCCGGGAAUCAAAGAUGGCCUCUAUUUAUAAGCUAUCACCGCAGGAUGAGCUCGCGCUCCAUUAGCCUGUUGGUAGGGUAACGGCCUACCAAAGCUACGAUGGAUAGCCGGCCUGAGAGGGUGAACGGCCACACUGGGACUGAGAUACGGCCCAGACUCCUACGGGAGGCAGCAGUAGGGAAUAUUGCGCAAUGGACGAAAGUCUGACGCAGCAACGCCGCGUGUGGGAUGAAGUUCCUUGGAGUGUAAACCACUGUCGGGGGGGACGAAUGAUUAUGGCUCUAACAUAGCCAUAGUUUGACUGUACCCCCAGAGGAAGCUCCGGCUAACUCCGUGCCAGCAGCCGCGGUAAUACGGGGGGAGCAAGCGUUGUUCGGAAUCACUGGGCGUAAAGGGUGCGCAGGCGGGAGAUUAAGUCGGAUGUGAAAACCUCGGGCUCAACCCGAGGCCUGCAUUUGAAACUGAUCUUCUUGAGUAUCGGAGAGGAAAGCGGAACUCCAGGUGUAGCGGUGAAAUGCGUAGAUAUCUGGAGGAACACCUGUGGCGAAGGCGGCUUUCUGGCCGAAUACUGACGCUCAUGCACGAAGGCUAGGGGAGCAAACAGGAUUAGAU